UACGAAGGUGGCAAGCGUUACUCGGAAUUACUAGGCGUAAAGGGCAGGUAGGUGGUUUGAUAAGUCUGUUGUGAAAGCUCCUGGCUUAACUGGGAGAGGUCAACAGAAACUAUCAGGCUUGAGUAUAGGAGAGGGUACUGGAAUUCCCGGUGUAGCGGUGAAAUGCGCAGAGAUCGGGAGGAACACCAAUGGCGAAGGCGGCUACCUGGCCUAAUACUGACACUGAGGCACGAAAGCGUGGGGAGCAAACAGG
rnacentral:rRNA from 1 species